rnacentral:rRNA from 1 species
AGUGAACGCUGGCGGUAGGCCUAACACAUGCAAGUCGAACGGCAGCACAGUAAGAGCUUGCUCUUACGGGUGGCGAGUGGCGGACGGGUGAGGAAUACAUCGGAAUCUACUUUUUCGUGGGGGAUAACGUAGGGAAACUUACGCUAAUACCGCAUACGACCUACGGGUGAAAGCAGGGGAUCUUCGGACCUUGCGCGAUUGAAUGAGCCGAUGUCGGAUUAGCUAGUUGGCGGGGUAAAGGCCCACCAGGGCGACGAUCCGUAGCUGGUCUGAGAGGAUGAUCAGCCACACUGGAACUGAGACACGGUCCAGACUCCUACGGGAGGCAGCAGUGGGUAAUAUUGGACAAUGGGCGCAAGCCUGAUCCAGCCAUACCGCGUGGGUGAAGAAGGCCUUCGGGUUGUAAAGCCCUUUUGUUGGGAAAGAAAAGCAGCAGGUUAAUACCCCGCUGUUCUGACGGUACCCAAAGAAUAAGCACCGGCUAACUUCGUG